GUAAACAGUAAGCAUGUGUUAACUUGUCAGGAACGGUUUAUAACUUAAGUGAUUUGGCUAGUUGCGAUGGUUUUUCGUAGCAUGCUGUUUACACACAUAAAAAUUGUUAAUAUAUAUUAGUUUUUCCAGGAAAUUACUUCACUUGAAUUGUAAUGACUCGUUUAAAUGUGAAAUUUAAGACGCAUGAUAGAAUAUAUUUAUCCAAAGUACCAGGAAUUCGGUCGUGGAGUAUUCUUGUUGGAAUAUUAUCAUUAGGAAUAGGUGCUGGAUAUUAUGGUUCAGAUCAUUUUCUUUUGAAGAUUGGAUAUGUAAUUGGCUGUUUGGUUAUAGGACUGUCAUUCUUAGAAGCUUGGGAGAAAUGUGAUUUUGACAAAACCAAGGGAAGUGUGGUUCUUCAGAAGAGCAGCAUAUUUCACAAACUGCUGUGGCCAUUUGUAAACCCUCCAAGAACUGUGCUGAGCAUUGAAGACUUGCUGGAUGUACGCAUAGGCCAGGGACCAGCUAACUCUUCUCACAUUGAGCUGGUUUUAAAAUCGGGGAUAACACUACCCCUUACUGAUACUCCCACAACAGGGACUAUGAGUGAAUUAGAAUGCCUUGCUGAUCUCUUACGAUCAUUCUUAAAAAUUGGCCAAGUUGAAAAUCUCAAGUACCAGUACUGUGAUGAGGAUCUAAGCUUUUUUGACUCCAGUAGCAGUAGUAAUGGUGCCUCUGACAUGGAACAAAAUAAUUUGGAAGACGAACGUGAGCCUCAGGUGACGUGGGUUGUCCGUGAACAAGUUGCAACUGUUAACCUUGCUAGAGAAACCUAAGCUUUAGAGGCAUACUUAUGUUUUAUACUCUUUGUAUUUGCCUAAAGUUGUGUAUGAUACACAUUUCAUAGAAGCCAAAGUUACUUUAUAACAAUAUCCUACAAAUGUGAAGGGCUGGUACUUGAUGAAAAUCCAGUAAGUUCAACCUAAGAAUUUUUAUUGUAAUCUAUAAACAUGUAUGACCCACUUUCCAUACCAAUUCAUGUAAAAUAACAGCAAAAAUGAUGAAUAAACUUGUGUAUCAGGUUUCUUAAUUUUUGACUGCUUACAUUAACCUUACAAAGUAGUUAUCAAGGUAUACUAUUGUG
rnacentral:misc_RNA from 1 species